rnacentral:rRNA from 1 species
AUUGAACGCUGGCGGCAUGCCUUACACAUGCAAGUCGAACGGCAGCACGGGAGCAAUCCUGGUGGCGAGUGGCGAACGGGUGAGUAAAGUAUCGGAACGUGCCCAGUCGUGGGGGAUAACGUAGCGAAAGUUACGCUAAUACCGCAUACGAUCUAUGGAUGAAAGCGGGGGAUCGCAAGACCUCGCGCGAUUGGAGCGGCCGAUAUCAGAUUAGGUAGUUGGUGGGGUAAAGGCUCACCAAGCCGACGAUCUGUAGCUGGUCUGAGAGGACGACCAGCCACACUGGGACUGGGACACGGCCCAGACUCCUACGGGAGGCAGCGGUGGGGAAUGUUGGACAAUGGGCGAAAGCCUGAUUCAGCCAUGCCGCGUGCAGGAUGAAGGCCUUCGGGUUGUAAACUGCUUUUGUACGGAAUGAAAAGGUUUGGCCUAAUAAGCUGAGCUCAUGACGGUACCGUAAGAAUAAGCACCGGCUAACUACGUGCCAGCCGCCGCCGUAA